rnacentral:rRNA from 1 species
GUUUCUGCCUGCCGGUCCGGCUUUGCUGUGUACUGGUUUCGGUGGAAACUUACCUCUUGGUGAGCUUGCAUGCCCUUUAUUGGGUGUGUGAGUUAACCAGGACUUUUACUUUGAAAAAAUUAGAGUGUUUAAAGCAGGCCUACGCUUGAAUACAUUAGCAUGGAAUAAUAGAAUAGGACU